GAAAUGCGAUAAGUAAUGUGAAUUACAGAAUUCAGUGAAUCAUCGAAUCUUUGAACGCACCUUGCGCUCCUUGGUAUUCCUUGGAGCAUGCCUGUUUGAGUAUCAUGAAAUCUUCAAAGUAAAUCUUUUGUUAACUCAAUUGGUUUCUACUUUGGUAUUGGAGGUCUUUGCAGCUUCACACCUGCUCCUCUUUGUUCAUUAGCUGGAUCUCAGUGUUAUGCUUGGUUCCACUCGGCGUGAUAAGUUAUCUAUCGCUGAGGACACUGUAAAAGGUGGCCAAGGUAAAUGCAGAUGAACCGCUUCUAAUAGUCCAUUGACUUGGACAAUACUUUUAUGAUCUGAUCUCAAAUCAGGUAGGACUACCCGUUGAACUUAAGC
rnacentral:misc_RNA from 1 species